GUAGUCCACGCCUUAAACGAUGAAUACUAGAUGUUCGGAGAGUUAACCCUCUGAGUAUCAAAGCUAACGCAUUAAGUAUUCCGCCUGGGAAGUACGGCCGCAAGGCUGAAACUCAAAGAAAUUGACGGGGGCCCGCACAAGCGGUGGAGUAUGUGGUUCAAUUCGAAGCAACGCGCAGAACCUUACCUGGUCUUGACAUCCCUUGAUAAUCAUAGAGAUAUGACUUUCCCUUCGGGGACAAGGUGACAAGUGCUGCAUGGCUGUCGUCAGCUCGUGUCGUAGGAUGUUGGGUUAAGUCCCGCAACGAGCGCAACCCCUGUCUUUAGUUGCCACCAUUAAGUUGGGCACUCUAAAGAGACCGCCGGUGUUAAACCGGA
rnacentral:rRNA from 1 species